rnacentral:rRNA from 1 species
UACGGAGGGGGCUAGCGUUGUUCGGAAUUACUGGGCGUAAAGCGCACGUAGGCGGCUUUGUAAGUUAGAGGUGAAAGCCCGGGGCUCAACCCCGGAAUUGCCUUUAAGACUGCAUCGCUAGAAUUGUGGAGAGGUAAGUGGAAUUCCGAGUGUAGAGGUGAAAUUCGUAGAUAUUCGGAAGAACACCAGUGGCGAAGGCGGCUCACUGGCCCGGUACUGACGCUGAGGUGCGAAAGCGUGGGGAGCAAACGGG